GCGGGAGUAGCUCAGUUGGUAGAGCGCAACCUUGCCAAGGUUGAGGUCGCGAGUUCGUUCGAGCCUCGUCUCCCGCUCCA
rnacentral:tRNA from 1 species